rnacentral:rRNA from 1 species
GACGAACGCUGGCGGCGUGCUUAACACAUGCAAGUCGAACGCUGAAGACCUGGCUUUUGUUGGGUUGGAUGAGUGGCGAACGGGUGAGUAACACGUGAGUAACCUGCCCUCUUCUUUGGGAUAACGCCCGGAAACGGGUGCUAAUACUGGAUAUUCACUGGCCUUCGCAUGGGGGUUGGUGGAAAGGUUUGUUCUGGUGGGGGAUGGGCUCGCGGCCUAUCAGCUUGUUGGUGGGGUGAUGGCCUACCAAGGCUUUGACGGGUAGCCGGCCUGAGAGGGUGACCGGUCACAUUGGGACUGAGAUACGGCCCAGACUCCUACGGGAGGCAGCAGUGGGGAAUAUUGCACAAUGGGCGAAAGCCUGAUGCAGCGACGCCGCGUGAGGGAUGGAGGCCUUCGGGUUGUAAACCUCUUUCGCUCAUGGUCAAGCCGAAACUGUGGGUUGUGGUGAGGGUAGUGGGUAAAGAAGCGCCGGCUAACUACGUG